UUGUAAACACCCCCUCUGCGCCGUUCUUCUCCAUCUCCCCUUUUCUUUUCACUCUCAUGCGCCGUUCUCUUCUUCUUUGCUGGUCAAAACUUUUUAUAGCCCUAAAACCCAUUAUCAAACCUAAGAUAAACCAUCCAAGGCCAUGAAUCGAUGAAGCUCCAAUCUCUAAACACCACUGAGAACGCCAAACAACCCCUGUAGAUCUAAAGCCUUGACUUUCACUCCCUGAAAACGAGAGAAACACAUGCUUACCAUGAGCAAACCGACGAUGUUCAGUUCUUUAUCCACCCUAAAUCAAUUCUAAGAAGGCCUCUACAAUCUCCAAAUCAGACCUAGAAGUCAAACCAGUACUAACCAAAGCAAGUAUAAGACCCCGACUAGACCUAAAACACCUCAAACGACCGGAAAAACUCUCGACCCUUCACCUCGUCGACACCAGAAGUGGACAACUACUCUAACAAGGAACUUUAAACACUAAGGGUACUAUGGGCUCUGUUUUUCGAUUCUCUUUCGGGUUUACCUCUUCGAUCGACAAAACUGGCAAGGCUCCCCCUUAAAGACUAUAUACAAAG